AUGUGGCAGCAAGGGUUGCCCAUGUGCUCACACUCAAAAGUUUCUCCACUGUCAACCAUCAUCACUUCAUACACGACCCUAUAUCAUUUCUCCUUUUUUGCCUGUAUGUUCUCCUUCGCCUUCUUCGGGACAUGCCAUUUGAACCAUCGCUGCUUAGCCAGAUCUUUUGUGUACACAUCUAUGUGCUUGUGCGACGGCCAAUUCACCUUCUCCUCACACAACGGUCUCGCUCUAGCUGUCGGCACCCCCUUCCCAUGGUUUGAGCCGUCACACGCGCUUGCUCCGCCGGCAAGAUCCAAAUCAAAGCUCGUGCUCGUCCUCAACCCGAUGGCGUGGUCCAUGGUUGUGGACGAUGGAGCCGGGUUUGGAGCGGCGGCCUUGAUGGCAAAUCGCCGCGUUGAGGAUUGGGAUUGGGGCGGUGGCCUUGCGGGAGGAGAGAGGUGGAUGGGAGAAAAUAUGAGAAAAAAUUGGAUCAAUUUGAUGCUCCUCAAGCAACAGAGCAAAACCCUAGAUCUCCUCUCCUCUCCCCUCUCCGUCCAGCUUGCAGGUCGCCCGCCGCCACUCCGCCAUCCCCCACCGUCUCCCACCCCGUUGGACCCAUCUGAGUAUUUUCUCACGAGCCGUCGUUCGCCUCCAACCGACGCCACGCUUCCAACCGAUCCCCUCUCAUUCCGCAUUGCGUGGGGAACUAUUCUCUGUCUCUAUCGGGGAUCUAUUCUAGCUAGGGUUCAGCUGGAAACAAACAACCGAGGCAGGCAGGCAGAUAGAUCCCCUUUCUCCUGUUCCUGUUCCUGCAACUGCAAUCAGACCGAGAUACAGUACAGGAAGCCAUGGCGGCUGUCCUUGAAUCAUGCUUUGCCAGCCAAUAAGACAAGAUCCGCAUGCUACGUACUGGGCGUUUCCCACGAGAUUAACAAGCUGCAAGCCAAUGUGGAACCCCUCCAGAACCUCCUCACCGAUGCCGAGAGGAGGCGCAUCACUGACAAGACGGUGCAGGCAUGGGUGAGCAGGCUCAAGAGCGCCAUGUACGAGGCCACUGACAUCCUUGAUCUCUGCCAACUCGAGGCCAUGUACCAACAGGAGAAGCUCCGAGAGAAGCUGCCAUUUGUGGGGUGCCUCCAGCCGUUCCUGUUCUGCAUCAAGAACCCCGGGUUCGCCAACGAGGUAGGAGGCCGCAUCAACGAUGAGCUGGCCACCAUCCGCAAGGGCGCCGCUGACUUCAACUUCAUUGACCUUGGCUCCUAUGAGCAACGGAGGAGGCCGCCGACCAGUUCGGCCUCCUACCCCAGGCGCGAGAAUGCGCACUUCGUUCAGUCAGAUCUCGUGGGGGAGCAGAUCAACAAGAAUACAGAGGAACUGGAGCAUAAGCUGAUCGCCGACAGCCGCCACGAGCAUGGUAGCAGCAGCACCGUCAAGGUGGUGGCCAUCGUUGGCCAGGGCGGCAUAGGCAAGAGCACCCUCGCCAAGAAGGUCUUGGCAAGCGAGGCCAUCAAGGAGGAGUUCAAAACCAAGAUAUGGCUGAGCGUCACUCAGCAGUUCACCAAGGUCGGUGUUGGAAGUGAUUUUGAUGAGCUCAAAGAUAUUGGGAUGAAGAUUGUAAAAAAAUGUGAUGGGUUACCACUUGCUAUUAAAGUUAUGGGUGGACUCUUAAGCAGAAGAGAUCCAAUGGAACGUGACUGGGAGAUUGUUUUACACAAGAAUCUUGCCUGGAAAGAAGAAGACGGGUCACAAGAGGAACUAAACUACUCACUAAGCUUGAGCUACGAUGAUUUAUCUCCAGAGUUGAAGCAAUGCUUUCUCUACUACUCACUUUUGCCAAAGGGUUCAGGUUUUGGAAAGGAUACAGUUAUUAGCAUGUGGAUUAGUGAAGAGUUUGUUCAACAUGAUGGGAGGUCGGGGUCAGACCAACUGGAUCCGGAAGAAAUAGGGGCUGAUUGUCAUCGGGAGUUAGUCGCUAGGAAUCUUUUGGAGCCCGAUGAUUUAGCUCAGAACGUGUGGGCCUACACCUUGCAUGAUGUUGUCCGCUCGUUCGCACAAUAUAUGGCUAAAGAGGAAGCUUUCAUGGUUCAAUUUCAGCCACUGCACCCAGCUACCGGAUGGUUUGUGCAGGAUCCGUGCGUUGGAAGAAGUAGAGAUCGAGCAUGCUCCAGCCAUCGAGCAUGCCCCAGCCUGAUUGUGGAUCAAACAAAGGAGAGGAUCAAUUCAAGAACCAAGAAGCACAUGCGUCAAGAAGAAAAGAGGACGCCAAAUCCAAAAUGA
rnacentral:rRNA from 1 species